AAUACACAUGUAUUUUCUCAGAGUUCAGGAGGAUGGAAGUCCAAUAUCAAGGUGGUGGCAGUUUUGGUUUCUGGCAAGGUCCUACUUCUCGUCUUGAAGUUGAUCAACUACUUGCUAUAUCCUCGUGUGGUUUUUU
rnacentral:miRNA from 14 species